rnacentral:rRNA from 1 species
AGAGUUUGAUCCUGGCUCAGAAUGAACGUUGGCGGCGUGGAUUAGGCAUGCAAGUCGAACGGGUCCGGCUUCGGCCGGAUCAGUGGCGCAAGGGUGAGUAAGGCGACGGUAACCAACCCCAUGAUUGGGUAUAGCCGCGGGAAACUGCGGGUAAUCCCCAGCGACAUGCCGGGCCGGCAUCGGCCCGGCAUCAAAGCUUCGGCGUCGUGGGACGGGCCGUCGUGGUAUUAGCUAGUUGGCGGGGUGAUGGCCCACCAAGGCCGUGAUGCCUACCGGGCGUGCGAGCGUGGCCCGGCACACUGGGACUGAGACACUGCCCAGACUCCUACGGGAGGCUGCAGUCGAGAAUCUUCGGCAAUGGGCGCAAGCCUGACCGAGCGACGCCGCGUGGAGGACGAAGGCCUUCGGGUUGUAAACUCCUGUCGAGGGGGAGGAAGGCGCAAGCUUGACCGAUCCCUGGAGGAAGCACGGGCUAAGUUCGUGCCAGCAGCCGCGGUAAGACGAACCGUGCGAACGUUAUUCGGAAUCACUGGGCUUAAAGCGCGUGUAGGCGGAUGGGAACGUCGGCCUCUGAAAUCCCCCGGCUCAACCGGGGAAGUGGAGCCGAUACGACCCGUCUGGAGGAACGUAGGGGGACCUGGAACUUCCGGUGGAGCGGUGAAAUGCGUUGAGAUCGGAAGGAACGCCCGUGGCGAAAGCGAGGUCCUGGACGUUUGCUGACGCUGAGACGCGAAAGCCAGGGGAGCGAACGGGAUUAGAUACCCUAGUAGUCC